rnacentral:rRNA from 1 species
UACGGAGGGGGCAAGCGUUGUUCGGAAUUACUGGGCGUAAAGGGCGCGUAGGCGGGCGACUAAGUCAGAGGUGAAAGGCCUGGGCUCAACCUGGGAACUGCCUUUGAAACUAGUUGUCUAGAGUCCGGAAGAGGAUGGCGGAAUUCCCAGUGUAGAGGUGAAAUGCGUAGAUAUUGGGAAGAACACCAGUGGCGAAGGCGGCCAUCUGGUCCGGUACUGACGCUGAGGCGCGAAAGCGUGGGGAGCAAACAGG